rnacentral:lncRNA from 1 species
CUUUCCCUAAUGGAAGGGAAAUUUCUGAGCAGCCCCUGGCAAGAGGCCUGCAACUCUGCUCACCACUUACCACUGGUUUACAGCAAGGUUUCUAAAGGUGAGUCACAUCUCUGUAGUACUAGAAGGUUUACAGACCACUUUCCCUGAAACAUCUUUGUAAGAUGAAUGGUACAAUAUUAUUAUUCCCAUUUUAUGGAAGAGGAAACUGAGGCAGAAAGUAGUAGAUAUUGAGAUCCAUCUUCAUAUCUGCUUCCUUUAAUAUGGAUACCUCUUUUUGUGUCCUUUCAGAGAAGCUCUUUCCCUGCCAGUGUACAAGGAGAACAUCCUGGGAGGAAGCAUUUGGAAACAAACACAGAUGCAGGUAGCAGGUGGUACAGUGGAUAGAGUAUUGGUCUUAGAAACAGGAAAACUGGAGUUCAAAUUUGGCUUCAGAUACUUACUGGCUGUUAGACCCUGGCAGAUAUUGGAGUGCCUUGCCAUUUCCUUUUCCCGUUCAUUUCGCAGAAGAGGAAACUGAGGCAAACAAGAUAAAGUGACUGCCUAGGGUCACACAGCUAGUAAAUGUCUGAGACUAGAUUUGCACUCAGGAACAUGAGUCUUCCUGACUCCAGGUUGGGUACUCUAUCCACUGCAUUACCCAACUGCCCCGAUAUUUUAUUUAAAAAUUUCAGUUCAUCUGGAACGACCUCCAGGAAUUGAUGCAGAGUGAAAGGAGCAGAACCAGGAGAACAUUGUACACAGAGACCGAUACAUUAUGGCACAACCUAACAUAAUGGACUUCUCUACUAGCAGCAAGACAGUGAUCCAGGACAAUCCUGAGGGACUUUUGAGAAAGAUGCUCUCCACAUUCAGAGAAAGAACUGUGGGAAUGGAAACAGAAGAAAAACAACUGCUUGAUCACAUGGUUCAUUGAGGAUAUAAUUGGGGAUGUAGCCUCUAAAUGAUCACCAUAGUGCAAAUAUCAAUAAUAGGGGACUAGGUGAUCAAUGAUACCUGUAAAACCCAGUGGAAUUGAGCAUCGGUUAAAGGGGGGGUUGAGGGGAUAGGAGGGAAAGAACAUGAUUCUUGUAACCAUGGAAAAAUAUGCUAAUUUAACUAAUUAAAUAAAAUGUUCUAAAAAUAAAUAAAUAAAAACUUC